GUGAGAGGAACAUUGUAAAAGCUACAAGCACAUUGUCCAAGACGGGACUGCAAAUCACAUGAGGAGAGCCACACCCUGGCAGGAGCUGGGGGGGGGGUGUGACCAGCAUCUGUGCCGGACUGGGAGGUGCAAACCAGAAAGCAAAAGGAUCUGCGGCAAGAAUUUGACAAAAAGGUGAAAAAGAAGCAAAGGAUGAAAUGCAACAAAAACGAUUCAGGAAGGUGCCGAGUGGGAGGCUGAGGGUCGGUCCGCCCAGCAUGAAGCAUCCUCCACUGCUCACUGGAUGGAUGAACCAGGGACAGAGUGAAAGAUUCAGCU